GUGCUUGCUUUGGCAGCACAUACACUAAAAUUGGAAUGAUAUAGAGAAGAUUACAUAGCCCCUGCACAAGGGUGACAUGCAAAUUCAUGAAGCAUUCCUUUAAAAA
ensembl:snRNA U6 U6 spliceosomal RNA